rnacentral:rRNA from 1 species
CUUAAGCAUAUCAAUAAGCGGAGGAAAAGAAACCAACAGGGAUUGCCUCAGUAACGGCGAGUGAAGCGGCAAGAGCUCAAAUUUGAAAGCUGGCCCCUUCGGGGUCCGCGUUGUAAUUUGCAGAGGAUGCUUCGGGUGCAGCCCCCGUCUAAGUGCCCUGGAACGGGCCGUCAUAGAGGGUGAGAAUCCCGUCUGGGACGGGGUGUCUGCGUCCGUGUGAAGCUCCUUCGACGAGUCGAGUUGUUUGGGAAUGCAGCUCUAAAUGGGUGGUAAAUUUCAUCUAAAGCUAAAUACUGGCCGGAGACCGAUAGCGCACAAGUAGAGUGAUCGAAAGAUGAAAAGCACUUUGAAAAGAGAGUUAAACAGCACGUGAAAUUGUUGAAAGGGAAGCGUUUGCGACCAGACUCGCCCGCGGGGUUCAGCCGGCAUUCGUGCCGGUGUACUUCCCCGUGGGCGGGCCAGCGUCGGUUUGGGCGGCCGGUCAAAGGCCCUCGGAAUGUAUCACCUCUCGGGGUGUCUUAUAGCCGAGGGUGCAAUGCGGCCUGCCUGGACCGAGGAACGCGCUUCGGCUCGGACGCUGGCGUAAUGGUCGUAAAUGACCCGUCUUGAAACACGGACCAAGGAGUCUAACAUCUACGCGAGUGUUCGGGUGUCAAACCCGUACGCGCAGUGAAAGCGAACGGAGGUGGGAGCCCCCUCGCGGGGCGCACCAUCGACCGAUCCUGAUGUCUUCGGAUGGAUUUGAGUACGAGCGUAGCUGUGGGGACCCGAAAGAUGGUGAACUAUGCCUGAAUAGGGCGAAGCCAGAGGAAACUCUGGUGGAGGCUCGCAGCGGUUCUGACGUGCAAAUCGAUCGUCAAAUUUGGGUAUAGGGGCGAAAGACUAAUCGAACCAUCUAGUAGCUGGUUCCUGCCGAAGUU